rnacentral:rRNA from 1 species
UACGGAGGAUCCAAGCGUUAUCCGGAAUCAUUGGGCUUAAAGGGUCCGUAGGCGGACCUGUAAGUCAGUGGUGAAAUCCGGCGGCUUAACCGUCGAACUGCCAUUGAUACUGCAGGUCUUGAAUUAUUGGGAAGUAACUAGAAUAUGUAGUGUAGCGGUGAAAUGCUUAGACAUUACAUGGAAUACCGAUUGCGAAGGCAGGUUACUACCAAUACAUUGACGCUGAUGGACGAAAGCGUGGGGAGCGAACAGG